UUUGGGAGUGAGACAGACUGACGGCACAGAAGGAUAGAUAGAGGGACUGGAAUAUGGAUAGGGAGCACAAGAGCACAAGAUGAGGCUGAGGGCAGACGGCAGGAAGAUCAGCGCAGAAAUGCUCCAAAUAUAGAUGAAUGAGAGCUGGAGAGAGCAGACGCUUGACUGCCAGGGAGGAAAUGGCUGUGAGUUGCAGGAGUUUUGCUGUGACAAGUGGAAGAGAUCAACAUUAGCAAGAAUGGAAGUUGGUAAAUCACUGGCUUUACUUCUGCUUCCUUAUUGCUUGACGUUAAGAUCUUAUUGAUUACUUUUAAGGUUCUUCAUAACCUGGCUGUGGAUUAUAUUUUGGAUCUUUUAGUUCUUUGUAAGCCUUUUCAUAGUUUGAGAUCUGUGUCAGGGCCUGAGGCUCUGGAACGACCUGCCUGAGGAAAUGAGGCAGGUCAGAAUCUUCAAUUAGAAAGCAUAUUCAGAUUUUAUCUGAGCUGCCUGCUUAUUUUAAUGUUUAUCUUUUCUUGUUCUUAUUUCUUAUAUUUAUUCUGGUUAUUUUAAUGUAUUUUUUUUAUUAAUUUUCUUGUUUCUAUUUCUUAUUUGUAUUUUGCCCUUCAUGUAUUUCAUCAUUCACUGUGGUUUGUCAAGUUUUAGCAUUGAUCUGGCAGCAUAAGCAAACGAUCCUAACUGAGCUGCACCAACUUCAAACCAGUGAGAAGAACACAAAUAUAAAAAUAUUCAGAUAAGAAAGUAGGUUUUUCGCAGCCAAAGGACGAGGAACAUGUCGUGAAUAGACCCACAGAAAGAACAAAUUCCUCCUGCUAAUAGGAUCAGUUUGAUGUUAAGCAUUCUCUUGGCUCUUGAUUGAGUGUUAUCCCAGUUGUUUUUAAGUAUUUAUUACAAAUAGCUGUAUUGCAAUAUUGUCCUAACCACCAAAGAGCGUGACUGGCUCCCUUCAGGCCGCUGCUACGGGACACUCAAAACAGACACAGUUGGCAUCUUCCACUCUGUUACAUUCAUGUACCCACUGACAGACUGUAAUGUUAGACAUAGACAUAGACCAAGUGCACUUUGUUUCACAUUUUACUGUACCUUUCUUUGGCUUUUUGUAUUUAGCGUGGGUAAAUGUAACUGUUUGUUGAUGCUGAUUAUUCAUUCAUGUCAUUCAUGGUAAUAAUAAAGUCUCUUAUGUCUCUGAA